GUGGGUAUAGCCGAGUGGUUAAGGCGUCAGGUUGUGGCCCUGAAGACCGUGGGUUCGACUCCCACUACCCACCCCA
rnacentral:tRNA from 1 species